rnacentral:tRNA from 1 species
GUCCCCUUCGUCUAGAGGCCUAGGACACCGGGUUUUCAUCCCGGCAACGGGGGUUCGAAACCCCCAGGGGACG